rnacentral:lncRNA from 1 species
AUCAACAUGGAUCCUGCUCCGUCAUGGGUUCCAGGCGUCCUCAGCUUCAUUGCUUCAUCUCUGCUUAUUGUUUUAUUUGGUUUGAUCUCCUACAAAUGGAAUCAGCACCAGAACAAGAAAAACAACCAGCGAGGUCACAUCACAGCAGACGAUGGAGACGUGACGAGUGCGGUCACAAGAAACAUCAGUCAAUUCAUAGAUCAAACAGAUGGAAUUAAGCAGCUUCAAGAUGAGAAGCACAGGAACAACAUCGACCAGGAGCCUGUGGAGACGGUGAAGCCAAACAUCAGCCAGAGUGAGAGCAGCCCUCUGUCAGCUGACAAAGAAGAACUGGAGACGAGGAAUCUGAUUCCUGAGUCUGAAAAGUGUUCAAACUUGAGGUCCAACACAGUCGCAGCAGCUCAUGAGCCGCAGCUUAAGGUCGUCCUGGCGUUGCACAGGAUGAAGAAGUUGGAAGAUGAGGUGAAGAGAAUUCCACAUCUGGAGGAGAAACUGCAGCUGGUGGAGUGUGAUCUGAGAACGGUGACGAUGAGGCUGGAGACCACACAGACAGAGCUGGAGCACAAACGGGCGGAGAUGCAGGAGCUGCAGGCUGAGCAGCGGAGACGGGAGGAAGCAGAGAGGAAGCAGCUGGAGCACAAGGACAAGCAGCUUCAUGGACUGCAUCAGCACAGGAUGGAGGUUCAGAGUCUGACAGAGAAGAACAAGAAGCUGGAGAAACUGCUGAGUGAAGUGAGGAAGAACAACGAGCAGGAGCUGAUGAGAACCAAUCAGGCAGCUCGUGAGACCUGGACUCUGACUCUUACUGAGCUGAAGGACACACAAAUCAAACUGGAGGCUGAGAUGUCAACGAACAGGAAACUGAGGGCUGAGAAUGAGGAGCUUAGGAAGCAGCUGAUCAAACUGAGUGUGUGACAG